CAGCAGCCACGGUAAUGCGGAGGGUGCAAGCGUUAAUCGGAAUUACUGGGCGUAAAGCGUGCGUAGGCGGUUCGUUAAGUCUGUUGUGAAAGCCCCGGGCUCAACCUGGGAAUGGCAAUGGAUACUGGCGAGCUAGAGUGUGUCAGAGGAUGGUGGAAUUCCCGGUGUAGCGGUGAAAUGCGUAGAGAUCGGGAGGAACAUCAGUGGCGAAGGCGGCCAUCUGGGACAACGCUGACGCUGAGGCACGAAAGCGUGGGGAGCAAACAGGAUUAGAUACCCGCGUAGUCCCUGUCUCUUAUAC
rnacentral:rRNA from 1 species